CAACAUGACCGAGAUGAGCUUCCUGAA
rnacentral:piRNA from 1 species